rfam:Ornithorhynchus anatinus chromosome 3, whole genome shotgun sequence.
AGCAGCGUGGCUCAGUGGAAAGAGCAAGGGCUUGGGAGUCAGAGGUCAUGGGUUCUAAUCCCGGCUCUGCUG